rnacentral:rRNA from 1 species
GAUGAACGCUGGCGGCGUGCCUAAUACAUGCAAGUCGAGCGAACAGAUGAGGAGCUUGCUCCUCUGACGUUAGCGGCGGACGGGUGAGUAACACGUGGAUAACCUACCUAUAAGACUGGGAUAACUUCGGGAAACCGGAGCUAAUACCGGAUAAUAUAUUGAACCGCAUGGUUCAAUAGUGAAAGACGGUUUUGCUGUCACUUAUAGAUGGAUCCGCGCCGCAUUAGCUAGUUGGUAAGGUAACGGCUUACCAAGGCAACGAUGCGUAGCCGACCUGAGAGGGUGAUCGGCCACACUGGAACUGGGACACGGUCCAGGCUCCUAAGGGGAGCAGCAGGGGGGAAACUUCCGGAAUGGGGGAAAGCCUGACGGAGCAAAGCCGCGGGGGUGAAGAAGGUCUUCGGGUCGUAAAAAUCUGUUAUUAGGGAAAAACAAAUUUGGAAGGAACUAGGGACGUCUUGACGGUACCUAAACAGAAAGCCACGGCUAACUACGUG